rnacentral:rRNA from 1 species
UACGGAGGAGGCAAGCGUUAUCCGGAAUUAUUGGGCGUAAAGCGUCCGCAGGUGGCUCCUUAAGUCUGCUGUCAAAGACCGGGGCUUAACCCCAGAAAGGCAGUGGAAACUGAAGUGCUAGAGUGCAGUAGGGGUAGAGGGAAUUCCCGGUGUAGCGGUGAAAUGCGUAGAGAUCGGGAAGAACAUCGGUGGCGAAAGCGCUCUGCUGGACUGCAACUGACACUCAGGGACGAAAGCUAGGGGAGCGAAUGGG